rnacentral:rRNA from 1 species
UACGUAGGGUGCAAGCGUUGUCCGGAAUUAUUGGGCGUAAAGAGCUCGUAGGCGGUCUGUUGCGUCGGCUGUGAAAACCCGGGGCUCAACCCCGGGCCUGCAGCCGAUACGGGCAGACUAGAGUUCGGCAGGGGAGACUGGAAUUCCUGGUGUAGCGGUGAAAUGCGCAGAUAUCAGGAGGAACACCGGUGGCGAAGACGGGUCUCUGGGCCGAUACUGACGCUGAGGAGCGAAAGCGUGGGGAGCGAACAGGAUUAG